rnacentral:tRNA from 1 species
GGGCCAGUGAUCUAGUGGCUAUAUCUUUAAGGAUACCACAGAUGAUGACUCCCUUACACGGAGUAUGUCGAAGGUUCGAGUCCUUCCUGGCCCACCA